GUGUUUUAUUUAUAGGUAAUUACUGCAAGUAGGUAAAGCCUCAGUCUCUUCAUGAUUAAGUUUAGUUUCAGAUAAAUUUUUAAGCCAGUUUUAAAUUUGGUCCGGUUUCUGUAAAGAAGAGAAAAGUGAAAAGAAGUCGGAGAUUUGUGUUACUACUUAAAAAUUUCUUCUCAUGCUUGUAACACAUUUGUUACUUUGUUGUAAUACUUUUGUGUUAUUUGAAGAUAAUAAAAACCACAUAUAAAAACGAAAA